AUUGAACGCUGGCGGCAGGCCUAACACAUGCAAGUCGAACGCGUGGCGGACGGGUGAGUAAUGUCUGGGACACUGCCUGAUGGAGGGGGUUAACUACUGGAAACGGUAGCUAAUACCGCAUACCAUCGGAUGUGCCCCGAGGGGAUUAGCUAGUAGGUGGGGUAAAGGCUCACCUAGGCGACGAUCCCUAGCUGGUCUGAGAGGAUGACCAGCCACACGGGAACUGGGAGACGGGCCAGAGUCCAACGGGAGGCAGCAGGGGGGAAUAUUGCACAAUGGGCGCAAGCCUGAUGCAGCCAGGCCGGGUGUAUGAAGGAGGCCUUCGGGUUGUAAAGUACUUUCAGCGGGGAGGCGUUACCCGCAGAAGAAGCACCGGCUAACUCCGUGUCAGCAGCCGCGGUAAUAC
rnacentral:rRNA from 1 species